UGACAGUGGUGGUUCAUGGAUUCAAAUUAAAACAAGGUUGUGAGUGCCCUGAAAAUGUAAAAAAAAAUCAGCUUGCAUAUAUUUAUGUACACUGUACACUAUUAUAAUACAUGUUUUCUUUGCCUGUAACUUUUAUGUAUUGAGCAGAAAUUUAUAAUAAUAGAUAUAUAUAAAAUUGCAAAUGGAAAUGGGUUAUGUGUCAAAGAAACAGCAACCAAACAAAGAGCAGACAACAGUCUACAGCCACCAAUGGGUCUUCUUUGCUUUAUAUUUACAGGAUGGAGAAAGAUGUUCACUAUGAAUCAAAAAUUCAAAACAGAGAACUUUUAUAUAUCAACAAAAACAAUUGCAGUACAUGCACAUAUACAUGUUUAAAAGGUAUGAUAUACAUACAGCAAGAAAACAGUAAUCAAAUGGAAUGUCAAAUUAUUUUGUUUAAAAUAGAAAACAAGAUGACUAGAAUAUAUUAACAUGAUUAGGGUAAGAAAUCCAAAUGUGUCUGUUCAGGGUAACACCAGUGGGUUAUUUUACAAUGCGCUAUGAUUUCAAUCUCACAAAUAUGAAACAAAACAUGAUAGACAAAUAUGAAUUAACACUAUUUUGAUAAUGAAAUAGACUGAAAAUAUUUUACAUUUAACAGUCAGACAAGAAAAUUGCCAAUGGAAUAAAUUUGGAAUGGAAGUUAAAAUUUAUAGUUUAUAGGUCCAAGAAUCAUACACAGACUUUUAAGACCAAAUGAUGGUAUACUUUUAAUAGUUUAAAAGAUUUUAUGCUACAUGUAUUAUCUAAGCUGUAUAAUUUCAAGAUUAGUUUCAUUUGGAUUUAAAAAACCUAAUUUUCCACAAGAAAUGAGGGUUAGUAAUUUAAAAUUUCAUUAAUAAAGAUUUAAAAACAAUAUAAUGGAAUUAACUCUUAAAGCAUGAUGUGCAUCAUAAUAAUAUCCAUGAGAAUGUCAGAAGGUGUUUAAAUAAACUUGAACAUUUUUUUCAGAAUACAUGUAAGAGAAUGACUUAAGCAGACCAUAUUUUUGGGUCAAUGAUGCCCAUAACAAUGAAAUAACAAUAUAUUAAAAUUAUCAUUUAUCAUUUAUCAUUACUUUUCAAUUGAAUCAACACCUUAAAUUGAAUAACAAUUUUUUUUUUUUUCAAUUUUCAGUACACUGUCAGCAUGGUCAGAAGAAGAAUUUUACUGAGGAUUAAAAUUUUUGAU
rnacentral:lncRNA from 1 species